rnacentral:rRNA from 1 species
AUUGAACGCUGGCGGCAGGCCUAACACAUGCAAGUCGAACGGUAACAGGAAGAAGCUUGCUUCUUUGCUGACGAGUGGCGGACGGGUGAGUAAUGUCUGGGAAACUGCCUGAUGGAGGGGGAUAACUACUGGAAACGGUAGCUAAUACCGCAUAACGUCGCAAGACCAAAGAGGGGGACCUUCGGGCCUCUUGCCAUCGGAUGUGCCCAGAUGGGAUUAGCUAGUAGGUGGGGUAACGGCUCACCUAGGCGACGAUCCCUAGCUGGUCUGAGAAGAUGACCAGCCACACUGGAACUGAGACACGGUCCAGACUCCUACGGGAGGCAGCAGUGGGGAAUAUUGCACAAUGGGCGCAAGCCUGAUGCAGCCAUGCCGCGUGUAUGAAGAAGGCCUUCGGGUGGUAAGUACUUUCAGCGGGGAGGAAGGGAGUAAAGUUAAUACCUUUGCUCAUUGACGUUACCCGCAGAAGAAGCACCGGCUAACUCCGUG